rnacentral:rRNA from 1 species
AGAGUUUGAUCCUGGCUCAGGAUGAACGCUAGCGACAGGCCUAACACAUGCAAGUCGAGGGGCAUCGGGGCGAGGAGCAAUCCUUGCCGCCGGCGACCGGCGCACGGGUGAGUAACGCGUAUGCGACCUGCCCGUUGCAGGGGGAUAAUCGGGAGAAAUCCCGUCUAAUACCGCGUAAUGCCGCGGGGCUGCAUGGCCCUGCGGCCAAAGGGAGCGAUUCCGGCAACGGAUGGGCAUGCGUGACAUUAGCUAGUUGGCGGGGCAACGGCCCACCAAGGCGACGAUGUCUAGGGGUUCUGAGAGGAAGGUCCCCCACACUGGUACUGAGACACGGACCAGACUCCUACGGGAGGCAGCAGUGAGGAAUAUUGGUCAAUGGGCGCGAGCCUGAACCAGCCAAGUCGCGUGAGGGAUGACGGCCCUACGGGUUGUAAACCUCUUUUGUCGGGGAGCAAAUUCCGCCACGUGUGGCGGAGUCGAGAGUACCCGAAGAAAAAGCAUCGGCUAACUCCGUGCCAGCAGCCGCGGUAAUACGGAGGAUGCGAGCGUUAUCCGGAUUUAUUGGGUUUAAAGGGUGCGUAGGCGGACUGUCAAGUCAGCGGUAAAAUACGGGGGCUCAACCUCCGCCCGCCGUUGAAACUGACGGUCUUGAGUGGGCGAGAAGUAUGCGGAAUGCGUGGUGUAGCGGUGAAAUGCAUAGAUAUCACGCAGAACUCCGAUUGCGAAGGCAGCAUACCGGCGCCCAACUGACGCUGAAGCACGAAAGCGUGGGUAUCGAACAGGAUUAGAUACCCUGGUAGUCCACGCAGUAAACGAUGAAUACUAACUGUUUGCGAUACAAUGUAAGCGGUACAGCGAAAGCGUUAAGUAUUCCACCUGGGGAGUACGCCGGCAACGGUGAAACUCAA